GCCGUCUGGAGCAGUGGGCGGGUGCCUCCUGGCGCGUGGCGUCACGUAACGCGACGGGAGUCGCCGGAAGAGCGCGCGCGGGUCUCCUGUAGGGGGAAGGGGGCGGCGGGGGCGCAGCCGCCGGGUGCCGCCGGGUGCCGCCGCGCGCCCACCCUGCCUCGUGGGUCCCCCGCCUCGCGGGGCCGCGCGCGUCGCGCUGGUGCCCCCGGGGCGGCCGCGGAGUCGGCUUCGGCUCGGGCGGGGGCGUCGUGCAGGGGCGGCGGCCAUCACAGAACCCGCACCGACGGGGACCUGGGUGCCAUAAAGGUAGUCGCGGAGCAGAAUUACCUGAAAGAUAGUCACAGAAUCCCAGACUGGCGGGGGCUGGAAGGACCCUCUGGAGAUCGGCCCGUCCCACCCCUGCGUGAGCAGGCACCCCCAGAGCAGGGGCACAGGGCCGCGUCCAGGCGGGGGGUGAAUGUCUCCAGGGAAGGGACCCCACAGCCUCUCUGGGCAGCCUGUGCCCCUGCUCUGGCACCCGCACAGGGAAGGGGUUUGUCCUCAUGUUCAGGGGGAGCUUCCCGUGUCCCAGCUUGUGCCCGUGGCCCCUUGGCCUGGCGUUGGGCACCACGGAAAAGAGUACGGCCCCGUCCUCCUGACACCCGGUCAAACCGGGUGUCCUCCUGACAAACCCAGGUCUCUCAGCCUUUCCUCCCAAGGGAGAUGCUCCAGCCCCUGAUCACCUGCGUAGCUCUCCGCUGGAUUCUCUCCAGCAGUUCCCGGUCUUUCUUGAACUGGGAGGCCCAGAACUGGACGCAGCACCCCAGAUGUGGCCUCACUGGGGCAGAGCAGAGGGGGAGGAGAACCUCCCUCGCCCUGCUGCCCACACUCCUUUCCCUGCCCCCCAGGGCACCGCUGGCCCCCUUGGCCCCAAGGGCCCGGUGCUGGCUCAGGGUCACCUCGCUGCCCCCCAGCACCCCCAGGGCCUCUCAGCAGAGCCGCUCUCCAGCAGGUCCCCCCCAGCCUGUGCUGGUGCGGGGGGUUGUUCCUCCCCAGGGGCAGGACCCUGCACUGGCUCCUGUUGAAUUCCCUGAGGUUCCCCUGGGCCCAGCUCUCCAGCCUGCCCAGCUCUUGCUGGAUGCCAGCACAGCCCUCUGGCGUAAUCAGCCACUCAUGCCGGAAUAGUCUUCUUGUUAACUUAGACUAUGUUUAUUUUAAUGUCUUGUUUAAAAGCACAUUGUUGAAAGCAGAAUAUUUGUGAAUUGAGGGAAGCCCUGGUUGACAAGUUGACCCACCAGGGUAAAAAACCAGGAAAGCAAGCCCAGCAGUAGAGGUUGUGAAACCUCUCAGGAAGCCAUCAGUGCCAGUAAGGCUUGUUUUUACCACAUCUAACUGCAAAGAGGAUCCCUGAAGUCCACCCUGAUUUAGAGGUUGAAAUGGAACACAGUUGCCUGGAGCUCCCAGGCCAGAAAUCCGCUUACAGUCACUGCAAGGUAAAUGAGACACGGAGAGGAGUGGAGAAGUCAGGAAGACCUGGGAUGAACUGACAUGGAACCAUUUGGGAAGCUUUCACUAGUUGCAAGUAAGUUGUAUGAUUUCAGGUCGUAGCUUUGUGGUACAAAGGAAGUGAAGUGCUUAACAUUUGGAGAGGUAGGUGAAAACUAAGAGAUGUGUUAGGAGUGACAAAACUACCCUCCUGCAGAUUUAAAGCCAAAGGGGGCCUUAAUAGGUGUCCUGGGAAGAAGAGAUGUAAAACAAGCCUGGAGCUCCCAGGCCGCAGAUCCGCUCAGGGCUUUUGCAAGUCCUACUUUUCUCCUACAAGUUAAAUAGUUCUGUACUUUUCCUGUUUGGAGAGGGUGUCUGCUAGAUACCAGUCUGGAUUGCAUGGUAGGGUGAACAACAGUCUUUAAGUAUGAGAAAUCUACUGCUGGCAGUGUGUGUGUGUGUAGUGUGCUAUUGUUCCCCCUUCAGAAUGGACCCUUCCCCCUUUCCAAAAUCUGGGAAAGUCCCCUCCUUGCACAAGACAUUAUAUGGGGUCGUGGAUCUAAGGGAAAACUUUAACUGUGAGGACAGCCAAGCAGUUGAGUAAGGUGCCAAAAAAGCUUGUGCAGUCUCUGCUCUGAGCGGUGUCCAAGACUGGGUAAAGCUCUGAGCAACCUCACCUGACCUCAUAGCUGAUCCUGGUUUGAGCAGGAAGUUGGACUAGAAACCUUCUGGAGUCCCUUCCAACUGGAAAGUAUUCUGUCAUUCUACUGAUAUUUUUUUACUAUGGCACAGAGUCCUGAGCUGGGAGCACAAGAAGGUGAGUGCAUGGCCAGAGAAGUUGUCCUCCUUCACUCUGAGCUUGCUGUGUCCUGCUGCCCUUCCUCUCAGCUGGAAGGGGCAAGAGGCAUCUACCAGGUCAGCGCUGUCAAUGCCAACACCUCUUUUGACAGUGGGGGGGAGGCCAGAACAGACUCUUCCUGGCAGAUCCACGACGUCAACAAACAGCAACCAGAUCAGUUGGUAGAGCUGGCUGGCUUGUGACAGCCCCUAAGGUCCCUGCGGAAUGUUAGUCCUUGGUUUCUCUCUCACACCAUGCUCAGGAGAGAACCACAGCAGCCUUCCAGGCACACUUGACCUGGUACAUCUGACUCUGUUAACUGUAGGCCACCAUAGCCUGCUACCAAGCUCUCCGUGUGCCGCCAGCUCGCCUGCCCAUCACCCCCGGACGCUGCAGGUGAGUGGCCAACUGUGUGAUGCUGCAGGACAUCCGUUACGUGGAGUGGCUCCAGUAAAGAGGCAACCUGAGAGCCAGUACAUAUGACUUUGAGCCUUACCUGUCUCCCAGCCAUUAUUAGGAAAGGAGGGAGGAGGACAGAUCUUUGUAGAAAGGCCUCUUUUCCAUCCCUCCUCUCUGCUGUUUUUAACCUUCUCCCCCUCCCUGGUUCUUGAUUCUGCUCUCCUGUUGAAGUGAGGCUGGGGCAGCAGGAGGCCUCUGCAUUUCAUCCUCCAGCAGCAGGACAGAACGCUGGACACGCAGAAGGAAAAAGUGGGGAUCUGAGUACACCUGGAGGCGAAUAGCAGACAUUGCAGGGAGGGCAGUGGAGGAUGACAGUGGAGUGUUUAUAUCCGUAUAUAUAACAGAGAUAAAUGCAUUUUAUGUGUUUCUACACCUUCAUACGUGUAUGUUAGUUAUACAUGUUUAAAUGCAUACAUAUAUAUGGAUAGAUAAAACAUAUGUUUAUACUUACAUAUGUGUAAGAGAGCCAUUUAAGUAGUUGGAAGAUAAACCUUUCCCUUUACCCUGGAGAAACAUUAAAGGCCAUAAGGGGCAGGACAUUGUCCUUAGCCCAUGUUCCAUCCCACAGUGGGUACCUGGGAUUUAACAACUCCUUGUGAGUCAUUGCCAACUGAAGUCCAACCUCCUUGUUUAUAAGCACUUCUAAUAAUACAGCUACAUAUAUAUACACAUAAAAAGGUAUAAAAAGUUUCAUUGGCAGUUGUGUUUUUAAUGAAAGGUAAUGGAAUUAACUGUAAAUUUUAAACAUUCACUGGAAGAAAAUUAUAUAAAAUGUUGCUUCAUUGGCCACCUUUUCCACAAGUCUGCCACAGAAGCUUUAACAGGUCUGGGGGGAGUGUGCAUUGAAGGGGGAGCGGGGCAAAGGGUGAAUACUGUCAGUCAAAUCAAGAGACACCACUCAACCCUUGCUCAUCCAAAGGAGACAGUCAUCUAUGAGUUUAACCAAGAGGCCCAACCAACCUCCCUCCCUGCUCCUGCUCUGCUAAAAGCAGUCUAAUCAUAUGUGUUUUACUGGCACAAGGUCGUGGCAAGAAAACCCUGUAUGAAUUUAUAGACUUUUUAGAAUUACGCUUACUUUAACUUCAGGCUGUUAUGCCACAACUAGAAUUUCAGUUCUCUGCUUCUGUCAUCAGUUUUGGAUAUUUAGCGUCAAAAAGAUUUUAGAGAAGUCGUCUGUGGUCAAGUGGGGAGAAAACAUAUGCGCGCACUCACUUACGCACAGAGUACCACAUCUAUGAAGGAAGUCUGUCAAAAUCAGGAGUGUGCAUUGCCAGAGGAGUACAGCUGAAGAGCUGAAGAGUCAGGAAUCUAUGCAGUGCAGGGAGCUACUGUCAGGGUUGGACAUUCCUGUAGGUAUCUAGUAACACCAAUGGCCUGCUGCUGGAAAGUCGCCUAAAUCAUCUCUCCCAGGCAGGAAAAGCCAAAGGAUAAAAUACCAUUUGUUUGAGUGAUGUUUCCAUUUUAGAUUGCUUUCUGCCUUUUUUACCAUUUCUUUCUUUCAUCUGUUCCUUUCUUCUGUAUCUGCAGGCACAAAAGCUCAGAAGUUUCUUUGCUGCUCCUGCCAACAAUGGUGGCAUGUUCCCUGGAGAGCCACAGAAAUACAACAGCAUGCAGUAUGAGUCUCAGAUUUUUAUUUUCUUUUUCCCCUGAGGUGUGACUAGUUCUCAUUCUCGCUUUGAUCUUCUCUUUGAGUCUUUCUGUCAGGAGUGUUUUGCCCUCAAGGCACAACUGAAAGGCCCUUCUACUUUGACCAGUGUGCUCAACGAUCAGUAGUCUAAAAAGAAAUUGCACUUUUUCUAUCCCAUAAAAGCCUGCAGGUAAUAUUUGUAGUAUAAACAAUGCCCAAAGAAAGCAGUCUAAUGUGUUUCAUGAGACCAUGGGCGUGAAAUUCUUGGUACUCGUGUCCCUCCCCUGUACCCACUCUAACAGGUCCAUGUCUGUCUUAUACUGGGGACCCAAGAACUGGACACAGUGCUUCAGCUGGGAUCUCACCAGAGCAGAGCAGAGGGGGAGAAUCACCUCCUUCUACCUGCUGGCCACACUUCUUUUGACGCAGCACAGGAUAAUGUUGGCUUUCUGGGCUGCAAGUGCAUAUUGCCAGCUCAUAUCCAGUUUUUCAUCACUCAGUACCCCCAAGUCCUCUGCAGGUCAUCCCCCAGCCUGUACUCAUACUGGGGAUUGCCCUGACCGAGGUGCAACCUUGCACUUGGCCUUGUUGAGCGUCACGAGGUUUGCGUGGGCCCACUCCCCAAGCCUGCUAAGGUUGCCCUGGACGGCAUCCCUUCUCCCUUGUGUAUCAACUGCACCACUGAGCUUGGUGCCAUCUGCAAACUUGCUGAGGGUGCACUCAGUCCCACUAGCUAUGUCACUGAUGAGGUAUUAAAUAAUAUUGGUACCAGUACAGAGCAUUGAGGGACAUCACUCAUCACUAUUUGGAUGUUGAGCCAUUGACUAACUGUUUGGACACAGCCAUUUGGCCAGUUCCUUAUCUACCUAACAGUUAAUCCAUCAAACCUGUCUCUCUCCAAUUUCGUGGCAAGAAUGUUAUGUGGGACCAUACCAAAGGCCUUACAGAAGUGUAGGUAGAUGACGUCCAUAGCUCUUCACUUGUCCAUUGAUGCAGUCACUGUCAUAGAAGGCCACCAGAUUAGCCAGGUAUGAUUUGCCCUUGGUAAUGUCAUGUUAACUGUCUCCAGUCCCCUCCCUGUCUUCCGUAUGUUUCAACACAUCUUCCAGGAGGAUCUGUUCCAUCAUCUUAGCAGAUGUGGAGGUGAGGCUGCCUGGUUGAUAGUUCCCAGUUCAUUUCUACUGAUUUUGAAAAUGGGAGCGAUUUUUUUUUUCCCAGUCACUGGGGACUUCACCUCGCUGCCACAGAUUUUCACAUACAAUGGAGUGUAGCCUGGCAACUACCCCAGCUAAUUCCCUCAGGGCUCUAGGAUGCAUCUCAUCAGGUCCCAUGGAUUUGUCUUUGUUCACAUUCCUCAGGUGGUCUCAAACCUGAUCUUCACUUACAAUGCUUUUCCCCCAGUCCCUGACUUGGGGUUCAGGGGCUUGAGAGAUGUGGGAAGAGAAAUUACUGUUGAAAACUGAGGCGAAAACAUUGUUGAGUACCUCAGCCUUCUCCGUGUCACUUAUCGCUAGUUCUCCUGUCUUAUUUACUGGCGGGGGGAGGUGUUAAAUUUUUUUUAAUCUUCCUUUUCUGACCAAUGUACCUGUGGAAACCCUUCUUAUUGGGUCUGCGUGGCAAGGUUUUGGUAGUGGGGAGCUACAGGGCUGGCUUCUGUGAGAAGCUGCUAGAAGCUUCCCCCAGGUCCAAUGGAGCCAAUGCCAGCCAGCUCCAAGACAGACCCACCGCUGGCCAAGCCCAAGCCCAUCAGCAGCGGUGGUAGUGCCGCUGGGGUAACAUAGUUAAGAAGGGGGAAAAAAACCACAACCCUCUGCAGCAGCAGCCGGAGAGAGGAGUGAGACUGGAGAGAAAGAGCCCUGCAGACAGCAAGGUCAGUGAAAGAGAAGGAGGAUGUGCUCAAGGCGCUGGAGCAGAGAUUCCCCUGCAGCCUGUGCUGAAGACCGUGGUGAGGCAGGCUGUGCCCCUGCAGCCCGUGGAGGUUAGCGGUGGAGCGGGUAUCCCCCUGCAGCCCGUGGAGGUUAGCAGUGGAGCAGCUAUCCCCCUGCAGCCCCUGGAGGUUAGCAGUGGGGCAGGUAUCCCCCUGCAGCCCGUGGAGGUUAGCAGUGGGGCAGGUAUCCCCCUGCAGCCCGUGGAGGUUAGCGGUGGAGCAGCUAUCCCCCUGCAGCCCCUGGAGGUUAGCAGUGGGGCAGGUAUCCCCCUGCAGCCCGUGGAGGUUAGCAGUGGAGCAGGUAUCCCCCUGCAGCCCCUGGAGGUUAUGGUGGAGCAGGUAUCCCCCUGCAGCCCCUGGAGGUUAGCAGUGGAGCAGCUAUCCCCCUGCAGCCCCUGGAGGUUAUGGUGGAGCAGCUAUCCCCCUGCAGCCCCUGGAGGUUAUGGUGGAGCAGCUAUCCCCCUGCAGCCCCUGGAGGUUAGCGGUGGAGCAGCUAUCCCCCUGCAGCCCCUGGAGGUUAUGGUGGAGCAGGUAUCCCCCUGCAGCCCCUGGAGGUUAGCAGUGGAGCAGCUAUCCCCCUGCAGCCCCUGGAGACCCCACGCUGGAGCAGGUGGAUGUGCCCAAAGGAGGCUGUGACCCUGUGGGCAGCCCGUGCUGGAGCAGGCUCCUGGCAGGAGUUGUGGCCCUGUGCAGAGAGGAGCCUGUGCUGGAGCAGGUUUGCUGGCAGGAGCUGUGACCCUGCGGGGACCUGCGCUGGAGCAGUUUGUGAAGAACUGCAGCCCGUGGGAAGGAAUCAUGUUGGAGAAGUUCGUGGAGGGCUGUGUCCUGUGGGAGGGAGCCCACACUGGAGCAGGGGAGGAGUGUGAGGCGUCUGUCCCCUGCAGAGGAAGGAGCAGCAGAAACUACCCCCAUGCAGGGGGAGGAGGUAGAGAAAAACAGGAGUGGAUUUAAACCCAGGAGGAAAGGAGGGGUCGGGGGAAGGUGUUUUGGUUUUAUUUCUUAUUAUCCUAUUCUGAUUUGAUUGGUAAUAAAUUAAACUAA